AUGUUUGGAGAAGCCACAGGUCUGAAGAUAAAUCGUCAGAAAUCAACUGCAACUCCAAUCCGUUGUGAAGAAGUUGACAUCCAGCAGGUGCUACAGAGUUUUGGGGGCACCGUGGCCAUGUUCCCAAUGAAAUACCUAGGGCUGCCACUCACCCUCACUAGAACCAGGAUCGUGCACCUCCAGUUCAUCCUCGAUCGGAUCAGGGCAAGGCUGGCCGGAUGGAAAGGAAAGCUCAUGUCCAUCGCCGGCAGGCGGGUUCUAGUCAGAGCAGUUCUAAGUGCAAUUCCUACUUUUGCGCUCACCGUGCUUCGCAUGCCGAAGAAGUUUUUCAAAGAGAUCGACAAGGUGCGGCGACGUUUCCUUUGGGAACAAGAUGAGGAGCUCUCUGGUGGCAAAUGUAAGGUCAACUGGUCCAAGGUUUGCUCUCCACUGGACAAGGGCGGGCUGGGGAUCAUCGACCUCGAGCGCUUCGCCAGAGCUCUACGGCAAAGAUGGCUCUGGUUAACAUGGUAG
rnacentral:rRNA from 1 species